rnacentral:rRNA from 1 species
UACGAAGGGAGCUAGCGUUGUUCGGAAUCACUGGGCGUAAAGCGCACGUAGGCGGAUGUGCCAGUCAGGGGUGAAAUCCCGGAGCUCAACUUCGGAACUGCCUCUGAUACAGCACGUCUUGAGUCCGAGAGAGGUGGGUGGAAUUCCUAGUGUAGAGGUGAAAUUCGUAGAUAUUAGGAAGAACACCGGUGGCGAAGGCGGCCCACUGGCUCGGUACUGACGCUGAGGUGCGAAAGCGUGGGGAGCAAACAGG